rnacentral:tRNA from 1 species
UGGCUCAGUGGUAGAGCACAUGCCUUGCAUGCUUGAGGCCCUGGGUUCGAUUCCUCAG